rnacentral:lncRNA from 1 species
AUGGCGGAGGACGGCGUGCCGUUGGCCGAGUCCGAGUGGCUGCGUCGGUGGUGGCGGCGGGACUCCGGCCCGCUCGAACACCGGCCGGCUGCACUGGAACUCUAUGCAAAAACUCUUACCUGCCCUUCAAAAUCUGACGAGAGUAAAGGUUGGAGAUGGGCAGAUGGCUCGAGGACUUCUUUCUGGCAUGACCGUUGGCUAGGUAUUCAGCAACUUGCAAACCUAUUCCCGGCACUCUACUCGCACUCAACAAGCGGCCAUGCAACUGUCAAUGAAGUGCUUAGCAGGGGAAUCUUA